rnacentral:tRNA from 1 species
CCGGGAUAGCUCAGCUGGUANAGCAGAGGACUGAAAAUCCUCGUGUCA